UUUUUUUUUUACUAGUUUUAAGGGUGUACUUGCUGCUUUUUUCCUGCAGGCGGAGACAUUGUGUUGGAAAUAACCCGUGAAUGUACCCACAAGCGUUCAGUUCAAGCACAGCAGGACUUUCCGGUUCCGAUUCUGGGUUGCUUUUGCGAGUUUAUGCAGAGGGCAACUAAGGAUAUACACUACACGUCCACUGGAAGCCGAUGGUAAACAGGAGGGUGCCUUCUGAGGUGGAGAAGUGAAGCACAUAGCACAACAUCCUACAACAGCAACUUGAAACCUUUCAUGAGCUCUCAUUCAUAAUUUUCUCAUUGCUUUCCCUUCCCCACUGCAAAUUUCACGUAAAUCAGUUGACUCUAAUGCUUUUCCCCAACUCGAUCACUGGGGAAAUCAGAAGUUUAGAACAAUAUUCCUGCACAGGAGCCGGGGAAUACGGAGAUGCUGACAAAGCAGGGCUAGAACGCAGCAGUAAGGAUAGCAGAGAGGGACAGAAAGCUAUGACCAGCCCUUCCUUUGGCUCCUUGCUCCAGAGAUGGCACCAAAGCACCAGCAUGCAUGUCAGACUUUCAAUAUUAUCAAUUAAUGGCAGGUUGAUCAGGACGAAACUCCAUCUUUACCUCCAUUCUCAUUAACUUCCUCCCCUUAUUUUAUCUUUUGUUUUUCCUGUAAUUGAGAAGGUACUUGUAGUUAGAUUUAGAGCCACAUAGCUCAUAGUGAUCUCAUUUCUUGAUCCCCUAUUAUAUCUACAAAGUUCUUUUGUCCAGAUAAGCUAACUUAUAUGCAUGUCCUGGGUUAGAACUCUGAAAAGCCUCAGAAUGGGUGUGCUUCAACACAAUACUACUAUCUUGACUCACAUAGAUGUUCAUUUAUAAAGAUUCAUUUAUGUUCAUUUUGCGUUUUGUCUUAGAUUUGAUGGAUUACCACAGUGGCUGCACUGGAUUUGAAUUGUGCUUCAAGAAUAUCUCCUUGGGAGAUGACAGAGAGUAGGAGAAGCGUCUCAUCACGUGCUGGCUCUAUGCCCAUAGGCGAAACCAGCUUUCAAUCCCUGUCAGAGAAGCUCCUUUUGACAGUGUGCAGCAGUUACUGCAGAGACUUACAACUUGUCAAGAUGCAGAGAACAAAUGUCUGUGCAGUGCUCAGCCACAGCUGACUCCAAAGCUCCAGGAUGUUGUAUAAGAGGAGGAGACAGGAUUAAAUGCCUGGGGUCAGAAAGGACUGCUAUGAGACACUGUCUUCUGACGUGCCAUGCCUGGUGCAGUGAUAAACUCACAGCCUAUACGAAUGCUUACACAGAACUGCACAAGUUCAAGCCAGUCCCUAUUGCAGCAUCAAGGAGAGAGAACCCCCGAGGCCUUCCCUACUGAUUGAGAAACUGUUAGCAGUUGGUGGUGACUGAGAGGGGUGCAUGCCAUAUGGUAGGUAUGUAAGUAUGCUUGAACACUUGUGGAAUUUUUGAGACAGGUGGUCAAGCCCAGCCAAAAUAUAUGUGUCUGUAUGUGUCUAUGUGAGUGCUUGAUUUCUCGCUUUCUUUCUCUUCUUUUUUCUCUGGCGCACAAAGAGUUAACAAGUUCCAAGCUUUUUGCCUGGCUAGGGAGGGGCCCUUGAGACAGAGAGAAAUGAAGCCUUUUUGGUAAUUCCCUUGCUGUUACCAGUUUUAGUAAUUUUAUCAGAAGUAAGCAGAUUUUAAUGACAGAAUAGCAAAAUAGUUAAAUUUCCAAAGGCCAUCAACUUCUGACCCCCAGAACAGUAAGAGAGUUACAAGGCCAGAGAUCAUCAGUCUUUAGCCUUAUUUCGAUGCUGUGCCCCUCUUCAGUUCCUAAUCUCUUGCUAGGCCUGACACCCCACCCCACCCCCAGCAUGGCACAUCACCUCUCUCAGCAAGUUUUCUCCCUGUUCCAGGGCUUUGGGUCAACAUCCUCUAGGUGCAGUUCUAUAGAAGGUAUCUUCCCUUUCCUCCUCUCACACUCAGAGAGCCUCUCAUUCUUAAGUCCAUUAUAUUCUAGCUCCCCUUAGCUAGCCUCCACUUCUUCAGUAAAUCUUGUAUUCCUCAGAAGAUCUCUAGCCGUCCAAAGUAUGAUGCUGAAUGUUGGUGCUGGGGAUAAGACCUCUCAUUUGUUACUGUUGGAAUAUGCAAAAUAGUAAUUACUUUGGAAGAAUUUUGGCAGAUUUUUACAAAGAUGAACAUUGUCUUAGUAUAGACUCCAAUUAUACUCUUUGGUUGGUAUUGGGCCAACAGUGUUGAAAAUGUAUGUCAUACAAAAACCAAAGCACAGAGUUUUGUAGCAGUUUUAUUCAUUAAUCACAGAACAUUGGAAGCAACUAAGAUCUCUUGCAAAAGAGAGUAAAUAAACAAAUUGUAGAAAAUAUACAUAUCACUAUGCAGUAAUGAAUAGAAAUGAGCUAUCAUCCCACAAAGUACACAAGAAACAUUAGUGGUCUAUUGGCAGUCUUAAAAGGUACAUGCCCUUUCCACCAUCUUGGUGCCUGUGGAAGCCUGCUGGGAACAGGACUUCUAAAAGCAAGUAUGCCUGGAAGGCUGUAGUGCAAGGCCAUUUUUGCUGGUACAAGUGAGGUCUCCAAAACCAAAGAGAGCACACGGCUCUUCUUGAAAUUGAAGGCGUUUAUGCCCGAGAUGAAACGGAAUUCUACUUAGGCAAGAGAUGUGUUUGUGUGUAUAAAGCAAAAAAAUGAUACAGCGACUCCUGGAGGCAAACCAAACAAAACCAGAGUGAUCUGGGGAAAAGUAACUUGGGCCGAUGGAAACAGUGGUUUGUGCCAAAUUCUGAAGCAACCUUCCUGCAAAAGCCAUUGGACACAGAAUCCGUGUGAUGCUGUAUCCAUCCCGGAGUUAAACUAAUGGAGAGUAAAUAAAUAAAAGUAGAUUUGUGCUCUUGUUAAAAAAAAAAAAGGUACAUGCCAUAUGACUCUACUUAUGUGACAUUCUGGAGAAGGUAAAACUAUGAGGACUAUAAGACGAUGGAUGGUCACCACCAUUCAGGAAGAAGAAAGGAUAGAAUGGGGACUUGAUAGAAUAGCCAAACUACUCUGUAGAUUGUUGCAGGAUAUUUGAUCAUGCAAGAUAGAUACACAUGAAGACAGAAUGAGCCAAAGAACAAGGAGGAGAUAGAAUAUUAGAACAGAUUACCAGAGUUAGUAUGAGAAUAAGCAGAACAAUUCAGUAAGCACCUGAGAAAAGCCAGAUUGAACCAGUCAGCUUGGACAGGAGUUUUAAACC
rnacentral:lncRNA from 1 species